UCUCGGUAUUCUUGAUGUGGAGAGACAAUGAAAUGUCUUGGGCUGAUCACCUGACCUCCACAGAUGCGCGGAGCCUGUACACGGAUACGGAGGGGUCAGGAUCGCCGCAGAAGCCGCUCUGGGAUUAUACAGCUACUUAGGACGUGAAAGGAACCAGCAGGUGGCGCUGCGCAGAGCACUCGGGGAAUGGCAUUACUAGACCGCCACACUAGAAGAAUCAGGUGUUAUUAUUUCUCUCCUCCAGGACCGUGGUUGAAGGGGGCGGAGCCAGGCGAGCGGAGUGCCCUGUCCCCCGCCCGUCCACACAGCCACACACUCUGCAGUACAGCGGGGUAGUGGGGGAGGAAGCUCCAGCCGAGCUGUCAAGUACCGCACACGGCAGCCACUCACCGGGAGACUGCUCGCACUCCCAAGCGCUUUGUCUCAUUCCCCGGAGCAGCACCCUGACUCUCCUCCAUUCAGCUGCCCGGAAUCACUGGCGGAGCUCCGGGCAGCAGCUCAUGAUGUGCCUGGAGAGUGAUGGAGCGGGCACGGGGGGCAGCAGCCAGGACUGCAUCCCAGGAGCGGAGGACGGGGGGGUGGAGACCCUCUCGGGGAGGAUGAACCCGGUGACCACCGUUCUGGAUAUUAAAUCGCCAGAGAUGGAGAGUCCCAGCAGUAAAGCCAGCCUCUCCGAGAAGCCCGUCAACAUGAAACGUGCCAGGGUGGUAGCAGUGGGCAUCCUCAGCGUGGGCAAUGUGCUUAACUACCUGGACAGGUACACUGUAGCAGGGGUUCUACUGGACAUUCAGCAACACUUUGGAGUCAAGGACAGUGGUGCAGGUUUAUUACCAACUGUUUUCAUCUGUAGCUUCAUGGUGGCAGCUCCUAUAUUUGGUUACUUAGGAGACCGCUUCAACAGAAAAGUGAUCCUGAGCUGUGGGAUAUUCUUCUGGUCGGCAGUCACCUUCUCAAGUUCCUUCAUCUCUAAACAGUAUUUCUGGCUGCUUGUGCUCUCCAGGGGGCUUGUAGGCAUUGGAGAGGCUAGCUAUUCAACCAUCGCUCCCACCAUCAUCGGAGAUCUGUUUACCAAGAACACCCGCACGCUUAUGCUGUCAGUCUUCUACUUUGCCAUCCCUCUAGGAAGUGGCCUAGGAUAUAUCACCGGUUCAAGUGUCAAGCAGGUGGCAGGGGACUGGCGCUGGGCAUUGCGGGUCUCCCCGGUGCUUGGUAUGAUAACAGGAGCUCUAAUACUAAUAUUCGUACCAGUAGCAAAAAGAGGACACACAGAACAACUGAAGGUGCAUAGUUCUUGGUUCCGAGACAUGAAAGCAUUGCUCAGGAAUCGCAGUUAUGUCUUUUCUUCACUGGCAACGUCUACCGUGUCGUUUGCAACUGGGGCUCUUGGAAUGUGGAUUCCUCUAUAUCUGCAUAGAGCACAAGUUGUACAGAAAGUAGUGGAGCCAUGUAACACUGGACCCUGCAGCACCAAAGACAGUUUGAUUUUUGGAGCAAUCACCUGCAUCACCGGCUUUCUUGGAGUGAUAACAGGGGCAGGAGCUACUAAAUGGUGUCGAUCGAAAACUCAACGUGCUGAUCCACUUGUCUGUGCUGUGGGCAUGCUGGGAUCUGCCAUCUUCAUUUGCUUGGUCUUCGUGGCUGCCAAGAGCAGCAUUGAAGCUGCAUAUAUUUGUAUAUUUGCUGGGGAGACUCUACUGUUCUCUAACUGGGCCAUCACCGCUGAUAUGUUAAUGUAUGUGGUUAUUCCAACUCGCCGUGCGACAGCCAUGGCUUUGCAGAGCUUCACUUCACAUCUUCUUGGAGACGCUGGGAGUCCAUACCUUAUUGGUUUUAUCUCGGACCUCAUCCAGGAGAACACCAAUAAGUCUCCUCUGUGGGAAUUCCUAAGUCUAGGUUAUGCACUAAUGCUCUGCCCAUUUGUGGUGGUUUUGGGUGGAAUGUUUUUCCUGGCUACAGCACUUUACUUUUUGGAAGAUCGUGCCAAAGCUGAGCAACAAGAGCCGUGUUCAGAUCCUUUCACUGUUGGCAGCUGUAGUGACUCAGAAGAAGCUUCCAUCUUGUAGCCUUUAGGGUGAGUCAACACAUGAUGCCACCAGCCUCUGUGAAAGUCUGAUAAGGUCAAUACCAAGAGUUGAAGAAAAUACCUCCUGGGCAUAAAUGGAUCUCAUCCCAACAAAAACGCAAAAUGAUUUCCUUGACUGGAAAUCAUACCCAACAACUUAACCCUAAAAGUCUAGGAACUGCUCAGUGACGUGAAUAUUUUCCAAAGAGAGUGCACUGAAUUGACAUUUUUUUUUAAUUUAUGAAGGAGAUUGUGCAAGUGACUCCGAAUUUGUGAAGUGACUGCUUCCAGUGGGCAGAAAAUAUGGAACCGGCAAGGUAAAUUAGAUGCACUGAAUGGUGAGACGGCUACAGUACAUCGCCCUGGAAUGGAUGAGGCUGAUGGCAGGGGACACAUCACAGUUACCUUGCCAAGGAAGGUUCACCAGACAAGCAAAGUUAGAAGUGUAAUGAAAUAUUUGAAGGAUUUUUAUUUUUUUUCCAGAGAAAUUUAUAUGAUGUAUAUCACUGUACAUACAUUUUCUAAAUUGUAUAUACAUAUCUAAAGAUAUAUAAAUGUAUAUAUUUUACAAAUAUUCUUUAUUUAAUAUUUAGGUGCCAUACAGGCCGGUUUCUACAGAUAUUGGAUAUUUAUUCUUUGAAGUUUCUUUUUCCAUAGCUUUAAUAUGGAAGGAGCGAAUGCUCCUCUUUAAAAGUGCAGAUCCAAUGGCUGAAGUUUAGUGGUGAAAUUUCUGUCUAGAACGAAGGAAGAAAUGGAGUGGAUCUUUUGGUUUGCACUUUUUGUUUACCUGAAAAGGUGAUCAGUAUUAGCAUCUGUGAAAUGUCUUUGAGAGCUUUCUUACUAAUGUGUGAAUACAACACGUAUCUGCUGCAACCAAUCAGGAACGGACUAGUGUCUCUAUAUCCAAUAUUAGGAAAAUUGGUUGUACUUGAAACAACAUAUUGGUGCUAUAAGCAACACAUUAUUAAGUAAGCUGCUCAGUAUAGCAAAUUAUUGCUAAUUUAUUAUUGAAUCAUAUUUAGAUAUAUUGAUAUACAAUUGUGUAUUACCAGGCAAACAUUUUGGGGCUCUUAAAGAGUUAUCCAUCUUUCGGCCUUUGUCUACAACGAGACUGAAUAAACUGAACUCUCUUUAUUCAUUUGGUCCUUGAGCUCAUUUUUCUGGGACCACUCCGUCUGAAUGUCUGUCAUAAUUCACCCGUCCAUUCAGUGUGUGUAUAUGGAUAAGUCGUGUGCAUUCAUUUUUAAUUCAGACUCCAACCAGUGGUUCUCCAUCUGUUUUUAAACUUUAAGUCCCAACCGGUGGUUGACAGCUCCAGAUCCACAUGUUGGAGACCACUGCUGAUGUGUGCAGAUAGCUCACCAAAUCCUUAUAAGAUGUUCACAAACACACAAAUCCAUAGAAAGUGAUCACCAAGAUCGCAGCUCAAGGACCAAAUUGGCAUGGAUUACUCCCCAUAUGUAAUGAAGGAGGUCGCACCUUUAGAACCAAAUACUGGUAGACCAAUGUCUAUAAAUACAGCUCUCUUGUUUCUCUACGGACUUAUCCCUGGGAGGACACUUAGCAAAUUGUAAAACUUUGUAGUUGCUUUCUAUUGAAUCAAAUUGUUAAAAUUUCAGAUCAGCAAAUUUUUAAAAAUUAGUUCAUGAGAAUAAGGUCUGAAAUGCCAUUUGAUAUUCGAUAUGUUUUCCUCAUUGGGAAAAGUUCAAUUUCCUAGUUUGUAUAACCCCCUGCAACUUUUACUAUAUGCACUGUCUAGAUUUUGUGUGUGUAAAAUCACAUACACAACAGAACAACUUUGUUUUAUUUGAAAUUAAAUUCAUAAAUUAAUUAUUCUAGGUUUCUGUAAAAAGGAAGACUAUGUGGGGCUGCAUAUUGUAUGUUUGAGUGUUGAUAGCUUCUAAUAACAGAGUGGAUGUUAUACAGCACACGAUGCAUGCACUGAAUGUAGCAUUUCCAUUAGUCUCACAAUGGGGCUACAUUAUGAUAAAUGAUAGACUAGUUUAAAGUCCAUCUAUACUGCAAACACAAGGCCAAGGCAGUGUGUGUGCAGAUAAUAUUCAUGCAGAAAUAAGAUGCGAAGCUACAUUCACUUUAAAAGCGUUGGCUGGCGUAUGAGCUGCAUAAAAUGUUGAUGCUGCAGUCUUGGACACUCAGCUCCUGGUGUAGGGAUACCUUAACUUGCUGAGCUACAUGAAAUCAAACAAUUAGUUCAUCUGAAGCUGGGUUUGCUGAGGAGCUUUCCAUUUUAGUUUAACUCCCGUGUCUAUGGGUACAGAUUUCCCUGGAAAAUUACUAAGGCCGUUUUAAGCAGUUGAUGAGAACAGUGCGCGAAUACCGUUUUAUUCAUUUGCACAGGUAACUGUGAUAGGAACAGAGUCUUCUGUACUGUACUCCAUUUUUAAACUGAAAAGGGAUCUUGAUGAGCCCCAUCAAAGCAGUGUGCGCUGUUAAAGGGAAC